rnacentral:rRNA from 1 species
UACGUAGGGGGCAAGCGUUGUCCGGAUUUAUUGGGCGUAAAGAGCGUGUAGGCGGCCAGGUAGGUCCGCUGUGAAAACUCGAGGCUUAACCUCGAGAUGUCGGUGGAAACCAUCUGGCUAGAGUCCGGAAGAGGAGAGUGGAAUUCCUGGUGUAGCGGUGAAAUGCGCAGAUAUCAAGAGGAACACCUGAGGUGAAGACGGGUUGCUGGGCUGACACUGACGCUGAGGCGCGAAAGCUAGGGUAGCAAACGGG